CCUACGCGUGGCAGCAGUAAGGAAUUUUCGGCAAUGUGUGGAACCCUGACCGAGCAACGCCGCGUGAAGGAAGAAGGAAUUAGUUCUGUAAACUUCUGUUCUAAAAGAAGAAAGACGGAUGUAGGAAAUUACAUCCGAGUGACUGUACGUUCUGAGAAAGCCACAGCUAACUACGUGCCAGAAGCCGCGAUAGUACGUGGGUGGCAAGCGUUAUCCGGAAGUAUUGGGCGUAAGGCGGGAUGAGGCGGCAGAAAAGGGCUGUGGUGAAAGACUGAAGCUAAACUUCAGUAAGCCAUAGAGACCGGGAAGCUAGAGUGAAGGAGAGGAUCGUGGAAUUCCAGGUGUAGCGGUGAAAGGCGUAGAUAUAUGGAGGAACACCAGUGGCGAAGGCGACGAUCUGGCCUGCAACUGACGCUCAGUCCCGAAAGCGUGGGGAGCAAAUAGGAUUAGAUACCCCAGUAGUC
rnacentral:rRNA from 1 species